rnacentral:lncRNA from 1 species
GCUACAGUGCUACUGGCCCAUAAUCAGGCAACUGCAGAGUCUUAGGGGGUUAUCUAAUGUAGUCUUGGGGUGGCUGGAUAGACUUCCCAAAGAAGGUGAUGCCGAAGCUGAGGUCGGAAAUUACGAAGAUCAGCUAUAAGAAUACAGGAAAAGGGAUCUUCAGAUAGUCAAUGAACUACAAAUUCUCCACUCCGUGAUUCGCCCCCUCCAUUCUGAGAUGCUGAAUCCAUGUGGUUGAUCCAUCUGCUUCACUUUCUGCUGCUGCCCAGACUAGUCCAUUUCAAGAAGCAAACUUGGAAAUCAUGUCUUAGAGAUCAAGGAGCCAAGAGAUGAGACAAGCCUGGGUUCCUAGGUGAUAGGGUGUGGCUGUGUCCCCACCCAAAUCUCGUCUUGAAUUGUAGCUCCCAUAAUCCCCACAUGUUGUGGAGGGACCCUGUGGAAGAUCUUUAAUAAAUGAAAUAAAUGUGACUGUAUGUCCUACAUCCCAUUCCUGUUGUCUUCCAUGUCUCCUCAGAGAUUGUGCCUGCAGCCUGGCCUGUUGCCCACAGCGGUCUACCUGCCACACUGGGAAAGAUCGAGCAGAGACAGAGAAGAAAAGGAGGCUCCAUUUUUCAGGCUGCUCUCCCGCAGGCUCAUGUUUUGUGUUCAUGCCAGGCAGAGAACACAAAAUGUUCCAAUAAAUAAGUAUCAAAGGUUAGUGGUGAAAAUGAAGGAGGAGGAGGCAUUGCGUGAAAAACUAAACAUGCAAAAUAUUACACACAAAGAGAACCAAAAUGCAGGUUCACUGGAAAUGAUAGACAAUAUGUUAAAACAAGAGGAGAGAAGAGAGCUGAAAUAAUCAAAUGGAAACACACAAUUUAGGGCUAAGAUCUUGUUGUGUUCAGCCACAAAUGAUGGCCAGCAGUGAGGAAUCUGUGUGUUCUCCACACUCUUCGCUCCUGGGAAGUCAACUCACAUGGACCAUGAUAUCAAUAUCUGCUCCUUCCCCUAAUAUCUGUUUGACCUUGGGUCAGUUACUUAAACUUCCUAAGCCUUAGUUUCUUUGUCUGGAAAAUAGGGAUAGUUAUACCUACCACACAACCACUUUGUAAUGAAUAUGUUGGAAAUUAUAUGCAAAUUGGCUUCCGUUGGUGUUUGGAACAUAGUAGGUUUUUAACUGGAAUAUAAUAGCUACCAUUAUCAGUAUCAUCAUAUUAAUUUAUAUUUCCAUCUUCAGCCCUUAACCCAGGAUCUUCAGUAAAUGUUGAAUUCUCAAAUUUGUUAAAUUCACUUGUCUAUACUAAUAUUUUACUCUAGGUUUCUUAGAAUAUUCUAGAUAAUAUUAUUAUGUAGAAUAUGUUAUGUAAGCUUCAUCUUAUCUGUAAAUAUAGUUUUA